CGCCACUCUCCGCUUUACUCCUCCUCUAUAUCUUUUUCCGGCGGCCGGCAGCUCCUUCUUCAGCUUCGUGAAUUCUGAUUGUUUUGACAGAGAUGGGUGCCAAAGGGAGGAAGAAAAGCAUAACUAAGAAGUUGAAGAAGGGUGCUAACGAAUUCUCAGCUUCUUCGGUUUCUAAAGAUAAAGCUGCUGACUUUCUGCCAUUGGAAGGUGGGCCGGCAAGAAAACUCCCGGAUACUGAAGUACGGGAAAGUAAAGCGACAAUAUUGUAUAUUGGAAGGAUUCCACAUGGAUUUUAUGAGAAUGAAAUG
rnacentral:misc_RNA from 1 species